rnacentral:rRNA from 1 species
GAUGAACGCUAGCUACAGGCUUAACACAUGCAAGUCGAGGGGCAGCAUGGAGUCAGCUUGCUGACUCCGAUGGCGACCGGCGCACGGGUGAGUAACGCGUAUCCAACCUUCCCUAUACUAGGGGAUAGCCCGGCGAAAGUCGGAUUAAUACCCUAUGUUGUAUUAUGAGGACAUCUGAGUAAUACCAAAGAUUUAUCGCUAUGGGAUGGGGAUGCGUCUGAUUAGGUAGUAGGCGGGGUAACGGCCCACCUAGCCGACGAUCAGUAGGGGUUCUGAGAGGAAGGUCCCCCACAUUAGUACUGAGACACGGACCAAACUCC